UACGGGGGGGCAAGCGUUGUUCGGAAUUACUGGGCGUAAAGGGCGCGUAGGCGGUCAGAUAAGUCAGCUGUGAAAACCUCGGGCUUAACCCGACGGCCUGCAGGUUGAAACUGUUUGGCUGGAGUGUGGGAGAGGAGAGUGGAAUUCCCGGUGUGAGCGGUGAAAUGGCGUAGAUGUCGGGAGGAACACCGGUGGCGAAGGCGGCUACUCUGGACCACUACUGACGCUGAGGCGCGAAAGCUGAGGGGAGCAAACAGGG
rnacentral:rRNA from 1 species